AAUUUUGGACAAUGGGCGAAAGCCUGAUCCAGCAAUGCCGCGUGUGCGAAGAAGGCCUUCGGGUUGUAAAGCACUUUUGUCCGGGAAGAAAUCCGUCCGGCUAAUACCCAGAUGGGAUGACGGUACCGGAAGAAUAAGCACCGGCUAACUACGUGCCAGCAGCCGCGGUAAAACGUAGGGUGCGAGCGUUAAUCGGAAUUACUGGGCGUAAAGCGUGCGCAGGCGGCGAUGCAAGACAGGUGUGAAAUCCCCGGGCUUAACCUGGGAACUGCACUUGUGACUGCAUGGCUAGAGUGCGUCAGAGGGGGGUGGAAUUCCGCGUGUAGCAGUGAAAUGCGUAGAGAUGCGGAGGAACACCGAUGGCGAAGGCAGCCCCCUGGGAUGACACUGACGCUCAGGCACGAAAGCGUGGGGAGCAAAC
rnacentral:rRNA from 1 species